GUAAUAUUUGCACAGCUGAGUGUGAAUGCUGAACAAUGGCGCCAUGAAAAUAGUCUUCUAAGCUGGACAGUGGAAAACCUAGGAAAAUCAGGGGAUGCUCUUUGACCUUCAUUUCUGUUUGGCUUCACCUGUGUUUGUGUGGAAGUCUUAGACUGCUGAAGACUGCUGACGGAUAAACAGAAAAUCUGGGAAGAAGCUAGCAGUGGGGGAGGAACGAGUCAAGAAAGCAACUGAUUUAUUUGUCUUCCCUGGGUUUUCCCAAGAUUUUAAACAUUCCUGAUGCUUAUUUUCCUGGAAAUAUGCAAAGACAUUGGAGAAUGGGUUACUUGAGCGCCCUAAUUGGCAGCUGUUGGGCUCUCCUCUCUUGUUACCUUGGCUGUCCCUGAGCCAAAGAAUUGCCCAACAGCUGGCUGAGUUACCCUAAAGCUGCUGGUCCUCCUGAAUUCUCCACGGAAAAUAUACAACAGUUGCAGUUGAUUGCUUUGGCUUCUGGAGAUGCUGCCCCAGUCACUACUGAUUCCCUCUAUGCCGCGUUUUUUGCAAUGACAAACUUCAGUGAGCUCUAAAUGACCCUACAACCAGCCCCAACCCACGUGAGAGGUGAAGCACUUCCCGGGUUGACCAGCAGAGGCGCUGCAGAGAGUACUACUCAAGGAGGGAGCUGCGCUGAUUGGUACAAAUGUAACCUUCGUUUGCAUGCGAACUUUGUUCUGAUUGGUGAAAACAACCACUUCUCUAACUGUAUAAAUAAACAGGCUCUUGAGUCUACUUGGUGAGUCAGAUGGGAGAGAGCCUCCCUCCUGCUAUGCGGCCUUUCCUGGUGUUGUGACUGUAGGGCUACAAUAAGGGCCUUCUCUUGAGUGGUCCUUUCUUGCCCACUUGCAGAAGCGUGGAUUGAGACAGUAACAGGAAAGAAUGAGCAGCGUGGCACAAUGCAGAGGUGGCCGUGAAACAGCAGAAGCAGAAGCAGCUGAGCAGUUGGCUAGUCAAGCCACAAAAGCAGCAAGGCAGCCCACUGCUUGAAAGCUGAAGAAGAGGUAGCUGAACGGUUUAAGAGAAGGGCCGGGGCAGGAUCACUGGAAAGAAUCUGCAAGUGAGGCUGAAUAUCGAUAGAUGGAUGGAUCUAAAGAGCCAGAAAAGAGAAGCUAUAAGCCCUGGUCACUGGUGAACUUUCAGAGAACUUUCAAAACUUCAGGGAAAUGUAGGGAGGCCUUGCUGGCCAUGUUGGUCAAAGAUUGCUGUCUACCGUGGCUCGGCAGCCUUCUCCAAGCUGUGCAACAGAAGAGACUCCGUCCCAAGCCAGGACUUCCCGCUCUCUGCCUGCCCUUAUCUGGAGGCUGUCUCUAGGUCCUGAGGACUGACCUUAUCUGAAAGCUGUCUCUAGGCCUAGACGCCUGAUUUAUCUCUAGCAUGACCCUUGGCAUAGUUUUCUACUGGAAGCUUUCUCCCUGUUGCCCACAUGGUAGCUAAGACUUUAAUGCAAAUUAGGUGAUUCCCCAGUUACCUUCCCCAAACCAUAUAUAUAUACAUAUGCUCUGGAAUAAAGUCUAGUUGUCUCAUUGAAGCCAUUUCCUGGGGAGUUAUUGUUAAGCUGGGAGCUUAGGCCCCAGCCCCUCUCAUCUAUCCUAGUCCCCUGACCCGGAGAGUCAGCACUCUGGACUCCAAAUCCCAGCAGGCCAGGUCCUGACUCCAAGGCCCAGGGUAUUUAAA